rnacentral:rRNA from 1 species
AACGAACGCUGGCGGCAGGCCUAACACAUGCAAGUCGAGCGCCCAGCAAUGGGAGCGGCGGACGGGUGAGUAACGCGUGGGAAUUUUUCCUGGAGUACGGAACAACCGAGGGAAACUUCGGCUAAUACCGUAUGAUGCCGAGAGGCCAAAGAUUUAUCGCUCUGGGGUGAGCCCGCGUCAGAUUAGGUAGUUGGUGGGGUAAUGGCCUACCAAGCCUGCGAUCUGUAGCUGGUCUGAGAGGACGAUCAGCCACACUGGGACUGAGACACG